GGAAGGAUCAUUAACACUGUUUGGGUCUCGCGCCCAAUUCAAACCAACAACCUGUGAACUGGAUUCCUAUUUUUUACAACAACAACCCCAACAAACUACUGACUAACGUACACUGACAACCAAAUAUACAACUUUUAGCAAUGGAUAUCUUGGUUCCCACAACGAUGAAGAACGCAGCGAAAUGCGAUACGUAAUGCGAAUUGCAGUAUUCGUGAAUCAUCAAAUCUUUGAACGCAAGUUGCGCCCUCGAGAUAGCCUUGAGGGCAUGCCUCUUUGAGUAUCGGUUUACAUUACUUUCACUUCGUCGUGAAGAGGAUGGGUCGAUUGCGCGCGCGCGCCUGGUGCGCGCGGCGAUUGUCUUCAAAUCUAUUUGUGUUUGGGCAGGCGUCUGUUGGAAUUGUCGCAAGGCAUUUUGUAAUUCGCUGGUCCCGAACAACCAACCCCCGUAUGUGUAUGCGCAUACGAACCUAAUAAUACACUACAGAUCUCAAAUGAGGUAAGACUACCCGCUGAAUUUAAGCAUAUAAUUAAGCGGAGGAAAAGAAACUAACAAGGAUGGCAUCAGUAACGGCGAGUGAAGCUGCCAGAGCUCAAACCUGAAAUCUCUGCCGUUCGCGGCAGCGAGUUGUGGUCUAUUGAAGCGUGUCUCAGUGGCGGCCCCGGUCUAAAUCAAUUGGAACAUUGUAUCAGAGAGGGUGAGAAUCCCGUCUUUGGCUGGGUGACUGUCGCGUACGAGCCGUUUUCGAAGAGUCGGAUUGCUUGGGAGUGCAGUCCUAAGUGGGUGGUAAAUUUCAUCUAAAGCUAAAUACCUGUGGGAGACCGAUAGCGAACAAGUACCGUGAGGGAAAGAUGAAAAGAACUUUGAAAAGAGAGUUAGAAAGUACUUGAAAUUGCUGAGAACGAAGGGAUGGCGACUAGUAUUGGCGCGGGUGGCCCCCGUUGGUGGCGGUACGAGGCGGACUGCCGGAUUGCUUGUCUUCCGCUGUUCGUUCAUGGCCGGAUCGCGGGACCUUGCCACUCGCUGCCUCGAUCAGAAUGGAUUCGCUUCCGUUGAAAUUGCCGUCCGGGAAGGUAGCUGUCCUCGGGCAGAACUUAUAGCCCGGCGGUGUUGGACGGUCGCGGAUUGAGGCGCUGAAACAUUCUCCGAGAUUCACCCGUUGCUGUUUGUCGUCCGCGCUUGGGGAACAAAGUUCCGUCUGCGCCGGGCGGUGGCACUCGGCGGGCUGAUCAUCUGUCUGUUCACGAUUCUGAUGAAAUGGUCGUCAUUCACCCGUCUUGAAACACGGACCAAGGAGUCUUACAUCUAUGCGAGUAAUCAAGUGGGAAACUUGUUUGCGGAAUGAAAGUGAAUGAAUGUGACCCGCAAGGGGCAACAUCGGGCGGCUAAAACAACUGUACGACCAUGAGCAUAUCUGUAGGGACCCGAAAGAUGGUGAACUAUGCUUGAGCAGGAUGAAGCCAGGGGAAACUCUGGUGGAAGUCCGAAGCGAUACUGACGUGCAAAUCGUUCGUCUGACUUGAGUAUAGGGGCGAAAGACUAAUCGAACUAUCUAGUAGCUGGUUCCCUC
rnacentral:misc_RNA from 1 species